CUAUCGUCGUUAGAGAUUGAA
rnacentral:siRNA from 1 species